rnacentral:misc_RNA from 1 species
GAUGAAGAACGUAGUGAAAUGCGAUAAGUAGUGUGAAUUGCAGAAUUCCGUGAAUCAUUGAAUCUUUGAACGCACAUUGCGCCUCCUGGUAAUCCGUGAGGCAUGCCUGUCCGAGCGUCAGUAAAAAGCAACUCGGCCGCGGCUGGCGGUUGGUGAUGGAGGAAGAGCACGUCUCGUUGUCGGUCUCCCCUCCCAAAAUCAACGGCGGAAUGUCACUGGCACUCGGUGUUGUAGUAUUAUUCGCCGAUCACCCAUUGUUGUUCCUGCCGCCCAAACCCCCACAAUUCUCUUGAUUGACCUCGGAUCAGGUAGGGAUACCCGCUGAACUUAAGCAUAUCAAUAAGCGGAGGA